rnacentral:rRNA from 1 species
AUGAAUAAAACCUUCAAUGGUCAUACACCCAAGGUGAAUGGUUUAUUGAAUCUCGAUCGUAGUGAUACACAUAUUUAUAAUAUUGAAGCCAAAAGAUGCAAAGUUGAUAAUGAUAGUGCAACAUAUUUGUGGCAUUGCCGUUUAGGUCAUAUUGGUGUAAAGCGCAUGAAGAAACUCCAUGCUGAUGGGAUUUUGGAAUCACUUGAUUAUGAAUCACUUGAUGCUUGCGAACCAUGCCUUAUGGGCAAGAUGACUAAGACUCCGUUCUCUGGAACAAUGGAGCGAGCAAGUGACUUAUUGGAAAUAAUACAUAUUGACGUAUGCGGUCCGAUGAGUGUUGAGGCUCGCGGCGGGUAUCGUUAUUUUCUCACUUUCACAGAUGAUUUGAGCAGAUAUGGGUAUAUCUACUUAAUGAAACAUAAGUCUGAAAUAUUUGAAAAGUUCAAAGAAUUUCAGAGUGAAGUGGAAAAUCAUCAUAACAAGAAAAUAAAGUUUCUACGAUCUGAUCGUGGAGGAGAAUAUUUGAGUUACGAGUUUGGUCUUCAUUUGAAACAAUGCAGAAUAGUUUCGCAACUCACGCCACCUGGAACACCACUGCUUAAUGGUGUGUCUGAACAUCGUAACCGUACUUUAUUAGAUAUGGUGCAAUCUACGAUGUUUCUUACCGAUUUACCACUAUUGUUUUGGGGUUAUGCAUUAGAGACAGUUGCAUUCACGUUAAAAAGGGCACCAUCUAAAUCUGUUGAGACGACACCGUAUGAACUGUGGUUUGGCAAGAAACCAAAGUUGUCGUUUCUUAAAAUUUUGGGGUUGCGAUGCUUAUGUGAAAAAGUUUCAUCCUGA